AGAGUUUGAUCCUGGCUCAGAUUGAACGCUGGCGGCAUGCCUUACACAUGCAAGUCGAACGGCAGCACGGGAGCAAUCCUGGUGGCGAGUGGCGAACGGGUGAGUAAUAUAUCGGAACGUGCCCAGUAGUGGGGGAUAACUGCUCGAAAGAGCAGCUAAUACCGCAUACGACCUGAGGGUGAAAGGGGGGGAUCGCAAGACCUCUCGCUAUUGGAGCGGCCGAUAUCAGAUUAGCUAGUUGGUGGGGUAAAGGCCUACCAAGGCAACGAUCUGUAGUUGGUCUGAGAGGACGACCAGCCACACUGGGACUGAGACACGGCCCAGACUCCUACGGGAGGCAGCAGUGGGGAAUUUUGGACAAUGGGCGCAAGCCUGAUCCAGCAAUGCCGCGUGCAGGAAGAAGGCCUUCGGG
rnacentral:rRNA from 1 species